UUUAUGGAGAGUUUGAUCCUGGCUCAGGAUGAACGCUGGCGGCGUGCCUAAUACAUGCAAGUCGAGCGAACAGAUAAGGAGCUUGCUCCUUUGACGUUAGCGGCGGACGGGUGAGUAACACGUGGGUAACCUACCUAUAAGACUGGAAUAACUCCGGGAAACCGGGGCUAAUGCCGGAUAACAUGUUGAACCGCAUGGUUCUACAGUGAAAGACGGUCUUGCUGUCACUUAUAGAUGGACCCGCGCCGUAUUAGCUAGUUGGUGGGGUAACGGCCUACCAAGGCGACGAUACGUAGCCGACCUGAGAGGGUGAUCGGCCACACUGGAACUGAGACACGGUCCAGACUCCUACGGGAGGCAGCAGUAGGGAAUCUUCCGCAAUGGGCGAAAGCCUGACGGAGCAACGCCGCGUGAGUGAUGAAGGUCUUCGGAUCGUAAAGCUCUGUUGUUAGGGAAGAACAAAUGUGUAAGUAACUGUGCACAUCUUGACGGUACCUAACCAGAAAGCCACGGCUAACUACGUGCCAGCAGCCGCGGUAAUACGUAGGUGGCAAGCGUUAUCCGGAAUUAUUGGGCGUAAAGCGCGCGUAGGCGGUUUUUUAAGUCUGAUGUGAAAGCCCACGGCUCAACCGUGGAGGGUCAUUGG
rnacentral:rRNA from 1 species